rnacentral:rRNA from 1 species
AAUAGAUACCCCGGUAGUCCACGCCGUAAACGGUGGGCGCUAGGUGUGGGGAACAUUCCACGUUCUCCGUGCCGCAGCUAACGCAUUAAGCGCCCCGCCUGGGGAGUACGGCCGCAAGGCUAAAACUCAAAGGAAUUGACGGGGGCCCGCACAAGCGGCGGAGCAUGCGGCUUAAUUCGAUGCAACGCGAAGAACCUUACCUAGGCUUGACAGUUGGGGAAAUCUGGCAGAGAUGCCAGGUCCGCAAGGGCCCCAAAACAGGUGGUGCAUGACUGUCGUCAGCUCGUGUCGUGAGAUGUUGGGUUAAGUCCCGCAACGAGCGCAACCCUCGUCGUAUGUUGCCAGCGGAUAAUGCCGGGGACUCAUACGAGACUGCCGGGGUCAACUCGGAGGAAGGUGGGGAUGACGUCAAGUCAUCAUGCCCCUUAUGUCUAGGGCUGCACGCAUGCUACAAUGGCCGGUACAAAGGGCUGCGAUACCGUAAGGUGGAGCGAAUCCCAAAAAGCCGGUCUCAGUUCGGAUUGGGGUCUGCAACUCCG